GUGCAAUGCCUGCCUGUGACUUGUGAAGGUAGAAAUAUGACUGCAGCAACUCCAGCAGCCAUCAGGGUUCUGUCUCCAAGGCUGGCAUCACGAGGUUUGAUGUGGUCUUAAGAAAGCAUCUGGGGGAUUUGUCAACACUGUGGUUUGACGGAGAGGGUGGGCUGAGAGCCUCAGGCAGUCAGAAGUGGAGCUUCUAGAAGGUGAGGAAUCAUGGGGGCCAUCUACUUGACUUGCUGUUAGAAGAUGGAGCUGUUUGGAAGAGGUGUGUCUCUGGGAGUGGACCUCUUGGGUUCCGCCCUUUUCUCUCUGCUUCCAGGCCACUCUGAUUUGAGCGGCUUUCCUCUGCCUGGCCACUCCUACCAUGUCUUUCUACUUUGGAACCAGCCAAGCGUGGACUGGAAAUGUCUGUGUUAUAACCACUUCUGAGACCAUCACGCCACACUGUGAAGAGUGUUAAGCUCAAUGGACAUGCACAGGAAGAAGUAAUUAGUACUGCAGAGGGGCAGGGGAGUUGAGGACACUUGAUCCUGUCCUUGAAGGAAUCCUAGUUUGAGUUUGGAAUUACUUGUCUCUUCUCCCCUCCAUCAACAUCCCUUUGAUGCCCCAAACAAAAUAAUUCACCCAAUAAGGAACGUGCCCUGCACUCCUGACUGUACAUCCAGUCUUCUCUUCCAUUGUUAACUCUGACUCUUGCAGCAAAGCCCAGAGUAGGUGCACCUCCUUCUGAACUCAGUCCCAGUAAGCCUGGGUAACUAUUGGUGACCUGCUUGUCUUACACACCAGAUCUCAAACUACUGAGGGUGGGGACUAUGACUUGUCAAUUUUUGAUUCCUAGCAUGCAAAAGUCACUUUAUAGAAAUCAAAAUAAAAUAUUGA